rnacentral:tRNA from 1 species
GCGGGUGUGGCGAAACUGGCAGACGCACCAGAUUUAGGUUCUGGCGCCGCGAGGCGUGGGGGUUCAAGUCCCUCCACCCGCACCA